rnacentral:rRNA from 1 species
AACGAACGCUGGCGGCAGGCUUAACACAUGCAAGUCGAGCGCGCCGCAAGGGGAGGGCAGACGGGUGAGUAACGCGUGGGAAUCUACCCAUCUCUACGGAAUAACGCAUGGAAACGUGUGCUAAUACCGUAUACGUCCUUCGGGAGAAAGAUUUAUCGGAGAUGGAUGAGCCCGCGUUGGAUUAGCUAGGUGGUGGGGUAAAGGCCUACCAAGGCGACGAUCCAUAGCUGGUCUGAGAGGAUGAUCAGCCACACUGGGACUGAGACACGGCCCAGGCUCCGCUGGGAGGCGGAAGUGGGGAAUAUUGGACAAGGGGCGCAAGCCUGAUCCAGCCAUGCCGCGUGAGUGAUGAAAGCCCUAGGGUUGUAAAGCUCUUUCACCGGUGAAGAUAAUGACGGUAACCGGAGAAGAAGCCCCGGCUAACUUCGUGCCAGCAGCCGCAGUAAAAC